ACGGACUGACAGCAGUGAAAACUGAAGAAAACACUGAGAAGAUAGUGAAAAAGUUAAUGAGGUCUGUACUCUUCCAUGGCCAAGAUCAGAAAAAAUUGAUCUACGUAUUUUAGGUUUUAGCAAACGGGUAAGUUCCAACAGCCUUUUUAACCUUUCUAAACCUGUUUAUACAAUCUUGAUGACGGGCAAUGAGGGUCAUCUGGAGAGAUAACAUUUCAAAUUGUACAAAUUACAUUCCUGAUGUCCUAAUACCGAGGUUAUUCCAGUUCAAAAACUGUAUUGUGGACCAUGUAAGGUCAUAAGUUACAGACAAAAGAUUGAGACUCUAGUAAAAUUCUUGUGUUUUUUUUUAACUUUAGUCUUUAAAAUUUUUACUAUAGUCUUUAAAAUUAUGGUAAAGUAUGCACGAAAUUUGCCAUUUUAACCAUUUUCAAAUGUAUACUUUAGUAUUAAGUACAUUCACACUGAGGUAUACCCAACCCAGAACUCUUUUCAUCUUGCAAAACUGAAACCCUAUUGCUAUUCCCAUUAAACAACUCUUCAUUUCUCCUUCCCCUCAACCCCUGACAACCACCAUUCUCAUCUCUAUUAAUUUGACCACACUAGGUACUUGGUAUAAGUAGAAUCAUACAAUAGUUGUUUUUUUGUGAAUGGCUUAUUUCACUCAGCAUGAUGUUCUCAGUGUUCAUGUGCCACAUGUGUCAAUUUCCUUCCUUUCUAAGGCUGAAUAUUCUGUUGUAUACAUAUACUACCUUUUGUUCAUCGAUUCAUCUAUAGAGGGACACUUGGAUUGCUUCCACCCUUGAAUAGUGUUGCUAUGAACUAGUCUUUGUUUUAAAAUCCAUUUCACUGUGCCUCAAACCCACAUUCGUGAAAAUAUGGCAACAUCAAGUCCCUCACAUUCCUGCUGAAUGGAAAGACUAACCACAAAAAAAGUGGUAUGUCCUCUAAAACGGUAAAGAAAGGCAGAGUCCCCAAACACAGUCCGUGCUCAGAAAUGCUUGUUUUGGGUUUUGUUUGUUUGUUUGUUUGUUUGUUUUUUUAGAUCUUCCAUUGUAUCAUUCCAAAAUAUUUUAAGUCAACAUACACUUAAUACAUAUUAGUUAGGUCUUGUCUGCAUGUGAGCCCUUGGUUGUUAAGAAGGAGAGACUGCUAACUAUAUGUUUCUCUGAGAGAAGACAAACACCAUAACAAUUAUCAUGAUACACUAAGGCUUUUGAGAACAGGUAGAUACAAUGAUCUUUUUGAAUAUAAGGACAUACGGGAAAUAGAAUUGAAAAAUUCUACUCGCUAGUCAUUCAAAGAAAAAUGUAACCAUAUCAGAACAGAUAUGCAUUUUUAAAAGGCAGACUUCUAUAAAACGGUACUCAUAUUACAGUAAAUCACUAAAACAAUUGUUGGAAUAGCGUAGUUUCUGUUUUCUAUGUGGAUCCAUGAAAAGACCUGCCAGAAACUGUCAGCACUCAAACUUCUACAUGAUUCAGGACGGUAGGCCCUGACUAUAACCUUCAAAUUAGCUUUAAAAUGAGUCAAAUUUAAUCAAUCUCAGCACAUUUUUGUGGGCUUAAGAUCAACCUAAAAAGGUUAAGAACAGUUAUUAAAGUUUAAAUCAAAUGAUUAGGUUUGGAGUCAAGAAACCACUUUCUGAAAUAUAGUCUUGGUAUAUCAGAAGUAGAAAUCUGACAUUGUUACCUUUUGUUCAAGGGUGUGUGGACUCUAAGUUGAAGUAUAGUUGACACACAAUGUUACAUCAGCUUCAAGUAUACAGUGAUCAGACAACUAUGUACAUUAUUGCUAUGCUCACCACGAACGUAGCUACCCUGUCACCAUCCAUCCCUAUUAUAAUACCAUUGACUAUAUUCCCUAUGCUGUACCUUUCAUCCAUAACUGAAGCCUGUACUUUCCACCCCCCUUCAUCCAUUUUGCCCAUCCCCCUUACCACCCUCCCCUCUGGCAACCACCAGUUUGUUCUCUGUAUUUAUGGGGUUUUUUUGUUUGUUUGUUUAGAUUCCACAUGUAAGUGAAAUCAUACGGUAUUAUGGUAUUUGUUUUAUCUCACUGGACUUCACAAUUAUUUCAGAAGUGUCUAGUCAACAGACAAACAUGUACAAAUCUGAAAUCUCAAAAGGUCACUAAAGGAAAGGAAGAGAAACCCCUAUUUACAAUUUUUCUAUACUAGGGACAAGAUUAGAUGUCUUUAUAUGCUUUCUUAUUUAAUCCUGUAACAACACUACAAGAUGAGAUUAGCUCCAUUUUACAGAUGAAGAAACUGGGGUUUAGAGAAAUCACUUAAUUUGCCCAGGGUCACAUAGCUGGUAACUGAGGAGGGAGAGACAAACACUCUGUUCUAUCUGAAUCUCAAACCCACACUCCUCCCUUAACAGGAUCUUCAGGUUUUACAAAGUCUUCCUCCAAUAUUACUGCAGUAGAUGGUUAUAUGUCAAGUAGCUUUAUUCUUAGCUACACCUUUUUUCCAAAUACUUCAAAGUUUGACCAAUAAGAAUCAAAUAAUGAUGUGCUAAAAAACAAAUGUGAGAUUAAACUAUGUUUGUAUGAUUUUCUGGCAUAAUUCUAAAUCAUUAAUUAUUCUAGAAUGUACUUGGAGAUUUCUGGUAUAUGUACCACUUGUCCUAUAGAAUCACAGAUAGUGGUAUAUGAAAGGAUGUGUUAAUCUUCUCACUAUGUGAUCAUCUACACUUAACAAUCCUCUAUGGAAGUAGUCAGGAGUCCCUUAUUAUGACACGCAUGCAGGAUCUAGGGAACACAAAAUAUUCUGUAGAUUCUCUAGAUUUUUGAAGCACAGAAAAUCCAAGAAACAGUCAAGCAAAAAUUAUAGCCUUUCUUGAAAGUUCAGUAGUUUAGCAGGUUUCUGCCCACUGAAAGUUUGCCUAAAUCUUAAUGUCAAAUGUCUAUUAUCUUAAUCUGCCAUAUUUCAGGCCAAGCAGAUGGCCUCCAUAUUUGAAUUGUUCCCAAUUAAUCUAUAGGCACUUCUCAUGCUAUUAGCACCUCUAUUUCCUAAAUUCUCAACCUCCUGGUCCCUCAAAUCUACUUGUAAAACUCACAAACUAACACUAUGUAGAGAGUAAUUAUUCUCAAGCUAGAGUUGAAUGGGUGAAAUAUCAAUGUCCUAUGAGAUUUUUUUUUUGAACUUCUACAACUCCACCCACAUCUUCUGGUUUUGAUGUCCAACUAUAAGACACUUGGAAAAAUCUCAGGAGAAAGAAAUAACAUAUGAACUUUGAAAAAUUAUAUCCCAGCCUGCGAGAAGGGGGAUAGCUCCGAAUCUGGAGCAAGGGGCCAACGUACAUGGCAUGAAAAAGCCCCAAAGUUAUCCUGAAGCAUGUAACCUCUUGAAACCUGUACCACUGGUCCUUGGCUCUUCGAUUUUGCUGACCAGUCAAAUGCACAAAAUAUUCCUGGAAUAAAAACAUUCAAAACUCAAGCAGUUUGGAACUGAAGAUCUUUAAAAAAUUUAACUGGAUGAAAAACUCACUUCUUAGCUAGAACAAACGAAAACUUUCUCAAGCACAUCACACAGGAACCAUUUCACCCAUAUGGUCUACAAUAUGUAAUUAGCACCUCACUAGUUACAAACCAAGCUUCCUUCCUUCCUUCCUGCCACAAUCUUCACCGUGCCCAGAGAGAAAGAACAGAAAUUAUUAUAUCCAUUUUAGAAAUAAGAAAACUCAUGCUCUGGGUGAGUAAAUGUGCUGCCAGAGGCAACACGAUCAGGAAACAGCAGAGUCAAGAGUAGAACCCUAGACAGACUUUCCUAUGGAGCACAGAACUGAGAAGGAUUUAGUGACUUCUGUAACAAUUUCCAAAGUGAAUUUUGUCAGCAAAAAUCUAAAAGUAAGUUAGCAUUUGUACUUUGCAGGUCUUCAGAGUUUUUUAUUUCCUUUAUCUGAGUAAUUUUACUGGAUUCUAGAAAGUAUGGGUCCACAAGAUCUUGAAAAAGAAAUUGAUCCGUCAACACAGAAAGUUAGAGAAACACUGUCCAGCUCUAAAUCAAAUCUCUCCCUGAAUCAAAAUUAACCCUUAUGUGUGUAUAGGUGAAAAUAAGUAUAUACUAGGAAUUCUAGAUACCAUCUUAAAAUACUUUGUUAAAGAAAGCAAAUAUUCCCAAAUAAGAAUUUUCUAUCUUAUAAAAGCAGCAUAUAACGCACAAAGGCAUAAAGACUGGACUUUAAAAUAGCUGAAGGGCCAAGGACAGAAUCUGAAAGUCAAGGCUAAAUGUUACCAGUAAGGAGGCAGGAGUUUGACAAGAACCUAGUUCUUUCUUCAUGGCACAUAGAUAAAACCACAGCCCCAGCACGGACCUCUCCAGGUGACCUCUGGUGGCCAGCCACUCCCUUGGGUCACUGAACCUCUCUCCUAGAGAGAACAUCCAGUGCCUUCCUCAUCACCUUGAGUCAACCCACGGGUCAAGAAUAAAUGGCAUUAGCGAUGUCCCUGGCACCCAGCUGAAUGACAGUGUGAUCUGCUCAGUACAAAUUCCGUCGUGGGUUUUUUUUGUUGUUGUUGUUGUUUUUUGGGUUUUUUUGCGGGGGGUGGGCGGGGAGGAGUACGUAGAGUACUUGAAUUCAGGUUUGAUACAAUUUAUAACAUAAAAACAGGAUUAUUUUUUGAGGUAAUAAACUAUGUUCUGCAGUUUUCAUCUAAGGUAUCUUGGUCCUUUAACACUAAGAAGUUUUGUAAUAGAAUUGCCAUGAACAUUCUUGUAAACAUGAAUUAUUUCAUAUUCAGGUUCAUUUUCAUUGCCUUAAUUUUCAGGUAAUUCUACUUCUUUGUUCCACCCCGAGUAGCACUUUACCUUCCCUGGUAUUUCUACAUCCAAAUAAUUGCAGAUGGUUAACAAGGCCUAGCUUUGCUGUCUCUAAGCCCAGGUGAACCUACUUAAUUCCUUUAACCUAUCCCUCCACCCUCCUCCGUCAUCUUCCUGAUUUCUCCUCUGAACGUUUUCCAAGAAAAUGUCCACAUCUUUCCUGGUCUCAGGCUCCCAGAACAAAUGUGGUUUUCAGGUGCCAUUUCAUCAGAUUCACUUCCCUACCCUGAGGUAAAGCUCUUGAAUUCCUCACAUCCCUUUGGUCCUUUCCCCUGUUCUUACAUCCAGGGUGGGUCCAAGGUAUUUCACUGCCCAAGGCAAAAGGAGACUGCUUUCCUUCUCUGCCAGUAACUGGAUCCAUUUCAGAAAGGUUUACAUGCUCUCCUCACCCCGCUCCCACUUUUACUUCUGAGUUAUAGAUAUUCUGCUAACUUAUCAGGGUAUCAGAGACUGUAAAUAAAUCCAGCGUCUUGUAGUAUUUGGAAAGUUCACAAGCUCUGGAAGGCAGAAGCAUGACAUCUGGCAAUUCGUUUCAUUUCCAAAAGCCCCAGCAUCCUCAUCUUCAAAAGCAGGUGGUAAGAAAAUAUAUGUAAAACUAAGAAAACGUAUACAUUUUUAGCACCUAAGGAAUUCUAUAAAGACUUUUGUUCUUUUGUUAGAAGUCAGGGUUGUUGGGGCACCUGGGUGGCUCAGUCGGUUAAGCAUCUGACUUUGACUCAGGUCAUGAUCUCGCAGUUUGUGGGUUCUAGCCCCACAUAUGGCUCUGUGAUGACUGCUCAGGGCCUAGAGCCUGUUUGGGGUUCUCUCUCUCUCUCUCUCUCUCUCUCUCUUCCUCUGAUCUUUCCCCAUUCACACUGUCUCUGUCUCAAAAAUAAACAUUAAAAAAAAAUUUUUUAAGUCAGAUUUCUUAAAAUAUUAGGUAACAAAAUGCCUUAGCAAAAGUAAACAAUGCAUAAAGAAGAAAUGCUACUAGUUAUCCAGACUUCAUGCUUUCUUCCUCAAAAGUUUUCAAAGUCAUUGAGAACUGGUUGUUUAAACAUAUACUGAAUCAGCUCCAGUUCUAUAAGGGAAGAGUUUUCAGCACCUCCUUAGCAUCUGUAUGUUGUCCCUUCCAUUACUGAGGUUUUGUGAUGUUAACUGAAGUUUAAAUUAUAUUUAAAUUACAAAAAGAAGGCGUUGGGUAUCUAUGUAGCCUCAUGUUUUCAAAAACCAUAUUACAAUAGCUACCUUUCAGUAGCUACAAUAGCUACCCCGACUGAAAGAAAGAAAGAAAAAGUACACUGAAGUGUACAGAUUAUCAGACUCCUUUAAAAAGGGGUGGGUUGAGGCACCCCACUGGCUCCAGCGGUAGAGCAUCGUGUCUCCAGACUGUUGAGUUCAAGCCCCAUGUUGGCUGUAGAGAUUAGUCAAAACUAAUAAAAUGAAGAAGAAGAAGAAAGAAGGAAGAAGGAAGAAGGAAGAAGGAAGAAGGAAGAAGGAAGAAGGAAGAAGGAAGAAGGAAGAAGAGGGUUCCUGUGAGAAAUAAGACCACUGCCCCAAUCAAAGGAGGGGCAUGCAGACUGGGAGAGCAGUGAAGCGAGGCUUUAAUCAAAGUUCUUGCAAGAGUGGGUGUGUCCAAUGGACAGGCACUCUCAGGGUGGUUACAGCAGGCAAUUUAUCUCCUAGUUGCAAGUCCCUCCCCCGACUCCUCAUUGGCUGAGUACUACAGAGAAACUUCCGAAAGUUUACGCAGAAACUUCAGUUCUUUGGCACGUGUCCAUUGUAAAGCUCAAGAAAAGUAAGGCCGUGAAAUAGAGAGAGGAAAAAAAAAAAAACCAGGAAGUGAAGUGUCUAAGGGUUUGGGACUCCACUGUAGGGGGCAGGGGUUCAUACAUAUUUCCAAUAGGUUGUAAACCUACUGUUGACAGCACAGCUUUUAUUUGGUAUUUCUGAAAAUGAAUCCUCUCACUUCUCACAGUUCCUACAGGAAUUUUUUAAAUAAAGGUAGUUGCCAUAGUUAGCUUUAAAAAAAAAAAAAAAUUUCACAGAACAUACCCAAUGUUGAACACACUCAGUUUUUGCUCAAGAGCAAAAGCAUUUCUUUUCCGUAUCUUUUCUGACACAUUCUUCACCAGCUUUAAAACUCUUUUUGUUGGGAUUAUCAGUCGCUCUGUAAUUCCUGCACAGCCUUCCACAGGAGAAAGACCAAACCUAGUAAAGGAGGACCUACUCACCGCUCCACUUCCACCGACCGCUGGAACGUGCGAGACACCAGCGCAGAUCCCAGGCUGGGACCAAAGCCCUAGCUCCCCUAUUUAUCGGGUGUGUUAAUGACCAACAGUUCUCAGUUGUAUCCAUUUCCAGUAAUUGCCCUGCCCUGAAGAUCACCCCUUCACCCAGAGAUCACCACCCUAUUCACCCAUCCGAUGAUUGGUCAGUUAAAGACACUAAAGGCACUGGAACAGGCUGAGGCCUUGGUCUCAGGUGUGCUGUGGUUCACCUUCCUUCAUUCCCCCUGAAUGCUGAACUCGAGUGCUCUCCAAUAAACUCCCUGCACCUGCAUCAGUCUUAGAUUCUGUUUUCCAAGGACCAGGUAUGGUCCAAGAAAGCUGCCUCUGAUGAGCAGCCGGCCUGCUGGGCUUAAGGAUCCCUGGUAGUGCAGAAGCACAGAAAGCUGCUCACACAGGUAGAUGGUGCAAUUGUUCAGAACCUCAUGGGGUGGGGGAAAUGAUUAAGAAUAAAUGAACAAAUAUCAUACCUUUCCUCGGUAAGACACAUUUAUACGUGGCUGCAGGAAUCAUCUUUUUUUUUUUUUUUUUUUUUUAUGUUUACUUUCGGGAGAGAGACAGAGCAUGAGCUGGGUGGAGAGAGAAAAAAGGACAUAGAGUCCAAAGCAGUCUCCAGGCUCUGAGCUGUCAGCAGACAGCCCGUCACAGCGCUCGAACCCACAAACCUUGAGAUUAUGACUGAGCCGAAAUCAGACACUUAACAAACUGAGCCACCCAGGCUCCCCUAAGAUAGAGCAUAUUCUAAAAUAGAGUGGAUCAUGAUGCAGGUUUGUGGCUCAGGUUUACUUUCAGGAAACACUCAAGGCUUCUUAGUGAAUCUAAGCACAACAUGUAACCUUCUAAUCAUAACCAACCUAGUGUUCAAAAAGAACACUAGUUAUUGGUUUACAAGAGAAUUCUAUCUCAAGUGAAACUGACAUAGCAUUUUUUGUAGACAUGCAUACAUUGGUUCAUUUGUAUACAGUGUAAGUUUUUAUAACAUCAAGAAUAAAUACACCAUUGGGGUGCCUGGAUGGCUCAGUCUGUUAAGCGUUUGACUAUUUAGGCUCAGGUCAUGAUCUCCCGGUUUGUGAGUUGGAGCCCUGCAUGGGACUCAAUGAUGAGGGGCAGAGCCUGCUUGAGAUUCUAGCUCUCCCUCUGCCCUUCCCCUGCUUGUGCUCUCUUUCUCUCUCAAAAUAAAUAUGUUUUUUAAAAAAGAAUAAAUACACUGCAAAAUUAUCCUAGUCCUUAAAAGUUAUCUUUAGGGGCGCCUGGGUGGCUUGGUCAGUUAAGUGUCCGACUUCGGCUCAGGUCAUGAUCUCACGGUCCGUGAGUUCAAACCCCGCAUCGGGCCCUGUGCUGACAGCUCAGAACCUGGAGCCUGUUUCAGAUUCUGUGUCUCCCUCUCUCUCCGCCCCUCCCCUGUUCAUGCUCUGUCUCUCUCUGUCUCAAAAAUAAAAUAAUAAAAAAAUAAAGUUAUCUUUAAAUAUUUAAUGCCUGUCUAAUUGAGGACACUUGUGACCUUAGGUAGCUUAUAGUAUGUCACUACUUUAUAUAGCAAUACUCCAAAGAAACCUGUCAAGUUCAGACUAAAUUUGUGCAAGGCAAGAUUGAGUAUGAAACAUAUCCCAGAUCACUUUGGACAUUUUUAGCAUAUAUAUGAAGCUGGCCAGGGACAGAAUGCUCACAACAGAUCUUCUACUGUAAGUCUAUAGGGUUGUGGUUUAAUUAUAAAACCUGAAAGCACAUUUCAGGUAGCAUAUGUCAUUGGUCAACUAUGCUUCAGACUGUGGGAGAAAUAUUCCUGAACAAGUCAGUGAACUUCCAAUUUGUAACGGAUGGAGAGGUAGAACUCUGAAAGGAUCAGUUUGAAGGGAGAUUAUUUCUUUUGCUCAUUAAUUCAUUUUUUGAUAAUCCUAUAUUAAGCACAUUCAUUACAAAUCCAAGCUAGAAACUUAAAUCUGGAACUUUCUGGUGAUGAGUUAACAAGUUAAUAUAAUGUAGCCUUGUCUGACUGAGAUUUACUAAACUGGAAAAAGAAAAGUUAUUAGUUCAGUCUGAAAAUUGACUUGGAGGAAGAAAAAAAAAGAUAUUCUCAGCUAAUGGUUCAUACAAUAGAAAUUACUGAAACAAUUAUUUAGGAACUGUAGUGAGGCUGUCCUCUGAGAUUUUCUAAAUAAGGAAAAUAAAUUGCCCUCUGAGUCUAAAGUCAAAACCAACUGCAACAAGUACAAAAUCAACAAGGAAUAGAUCACCCCAUAUGUAAAAGAGAUAGAAAAUCUUUUACACUGGUACGAUUCCAGAGGUCAUUUGAAUAUAUGGUCAUUUGAUUUUUAGGCAGUACAUAACUCAAUGGAGCAUUUGUAGGCAGUAACUAACUCACCCUGGUUAAGAUAUAGGGUCAAGUCUAGGGGUACCAGACAGGAAGAGAUCCCUGAGCCGCAUUUAGUUUUAACAAGAGUGGCCCUUUCCAGAUUAUUUUAUUCCCAUCAGCCGUCCUAAGUGAAUUAUAUAUAAUAUUAAUUAAUUUUCAACACAAGAAUAGUAGGUAGAUGUUUGGAAAGUUUUUUUUUAAAUAGUGACAUAAGACAAUGUGUACCCUUCCUAUUACUGAUUUAGUAAUUUCAUCUUGUAUCUGAAGUUUCAAGAAAUAGUCAUUUUUUUCUAUGCCAUCAAGUUUGCUGGUUAUUAAUUCCUGAACCAUAUCAGAAGUAAUAAAUACUGUAUUCAGGGAAAACAAUGGCAUAUACUAUGCCAGGAAAAUUUUUAAAGAAAACAAUGGUUCAGGAAAAAACAUCUCAAUAUCACAUUAAAAAAUUUUUUAUUCUGAGUAUAUUAAAGCAAAUGUUUGGAAUUCAUGUGAUAAUAUUUCUAGUUCAGAACUUUCUUUCAACUCUUUCUACUCAAUCAACAACUUUCUCAUUCCAAAAAAUCUCUAAACUUGCUUAGGCUGUAUAAUUUAUCUAAGAGCAUUCAGCUCUCAAACAGCUGAGCGUCCCAAACGUUCAUGUUUGACAAAAAUGGCAAAAGACAACGAAGAGUUCAAUCUAAAGAUUUGAAUUUAUUUUUCCUAUUUAGGAGUGAGAAUUUAAAAUAAAGGGUUAAUGCCAUAUGGAAAAAUCCUUGAGCCAUACUGCAUGGUGUAUAAAACACUUAGGACACUUAUAAUACAAUAUUGUGUUACCUUAAAAUGUUUUAUUUACGUUCCUCAUCUUUCUCAAAAGAAAAAAAAAAGUUGAAAGAAUUCACAGAAAAUGACUUCAUAACCUCAUAAUAAUAUUAAGAAAUGAAAUUACAAAAUAAAAACCAUAACUAAGAAGAAAGCAAAUAUUCCAAAAACAUAUUUUAGAAUAAAACUUUCCAACAAAUACAGGAAGUCCUUAUUAAGUCACUCUUGUAACCCCAGUUUUCCAGAGAACAUAUCUUGGAGAUAAAAAUACGGUCAUGGCAACAGUACCCUCCAAAUCCAUCCCAGUUGAGAGAAUGCAACCCAUUUCAAAUUUCUCAACAAGAGAAAGUCCCCAAAAAGGGCCUUCUUGGCUGUAAUUUGAUAUUUGCCAUUUUCUUUCUCUUCUAUUCUGUAGUGACAGCUCCUAUCACUGCUGAAGCCAAAAAUGGCAGCUACAUCAGUGUGGUUCACAGAAGUGGUCAUCACCAAUGGCUGACAAGGACACUGAC
rnacentral:lncRNA from 1 species